AGAUGAUCAGACAAGCCUUCAAAAGCCUGCACAAUCUGCCGUCCCACGCCGGAACAUAGCCCUCUGUUAGUGUACACAAAUCCCCGUUCCUGCGUGGCAAGCUGUGCGUCUCGUCCUUAUUUCCUCCCUGGUUCUUUGGCUGCCCUUGGAUCUCGACCCCCUCACUUUGGACAUGAACCUGUUGACGCCCCGCUUAGCCCUUGACUUCCUGCUCGUCUCACGGACCUCCGAGCUCCCUUGUCCUCCUGAUCUUCCGCCUCUCACUCAAUUCUGCUAUUAUGUUCCGAGCACCUCAACCCCUAGUAAGAGGCAGUGGAAGUUUGAAGAUCCUUGGUGUUGUCCAUCCGAUCGAGUUGGAUUCCACUGUGUAUCUGGCAACUUCAGUCAGGGAAAGGGCAGGGGACUACAUAAUUUUGACCGUGAUUGCAGUACCAUUUCUGGCCACAUCAUUACAUAAGGUUUUGUUUAAACGUCAGGAAUCUGUUUUUGGGUUGGGGUUACUGUCAUGAAUUUCAUGACAGGUUUGGUCUUUGUUCAUUUAUUUUACUGUGUUUGGUAUUGUUUCCUUUCCAGUGCUCUUAUUUUCAGUUCUACUUCCGGUUUGCCUCCACUACUUAUCUGGCCUGAGCUCUGCCUCCCUCACCUGAUUGGCAAUCGGGGCACACCUCUUUCAGGUUGCCGAUUAGAUUUUUUUUUUAUACCAGCCAGCCUUGAACAUGCUACUCGAUCAGUUUGUGGCUACGUUGUCUUGCUUCUAUGUUUUCUGUUGUUUUGCUUG